UACAUAGACAAGGCUCCGGGGGCGGCUCACUCCUGCACUAUCCAUCUUCUUGAUGGAAGGGGGUGAGAACAUGGUGUCAUACGAUGCAGCAAAUCUUGCAUUAAACUUCGGCAUAUACACACUAACAUUUGUUGGUGUAAUCGUAGCCAUUGUGACACUUCUUUUAACAAAAAAGAAAUAGACCGCCCCCGACAAGGUCACCGAUCUAUUUCUUAGACAAAACCUGAGCCGCUCCUCGUGAGAGCGUCUAUUGUACAGGACCGUUUGGUGUUGGUAGCACCGAGCGG
rnacentral:sRNA from 1 species